rnacentral:rRNA from 1 species
GACGAACGCUGGCGGCGUGCUUAACACAUGCAAGUCGAGCGGAGCGGCGAACGGGUGAGUAACGCGUGAGUAACUGCCCCCCUCCCUGGGAUAACAGUUGGAAACGGCUGCUAAUACCGGAUAGUGGGGGAUGACUCGCGGCCUAUCAGCUUGUUGGGGGGGUAGUGGCCUACCAAGGCGACGACGGGUAGCCGGCCUGGGCGGGCGACCGGCCUCAUUGGGCUGAGGUACGGCCCAAACGCCUACGUGAGGCAGCAGUGGGGAAUAUUGCGCAGUGGGGGAAACCCUGAUGCAGCAACGCGCGGGCGGGAUGACGGCCUUCGGGUUGUAAACCGCUUUCAGCCAUGACGCGGUAGUGGCAGAAGAAGCACCGGCUAACUACGUGCCAGCAGCCGCGGUAAUAC